UACGUAGGGCGCAAGCGUUGUCCGGAAUUAUUGGGCGUAAAGAGCUCGUAGGCGGUUUGUCGCGUCGGGUGUGAAAGCCCACAGCUUAACUGUGGGUCUGCAUUCGAUACGGGCAGACUAGAGGCAGGUAGGGGAGCAUGGAAUUCCCGGUGUAGCGGUGAAAUGCGCAGAUAUCGGGAGGAACACCGGUGGCGAAGGCGGUGCUCUGGGCCUGUACUGACGCUGAGGAGCGAAAGCGUGGGGAGCGAACAGG
rnacentral:rRNA from 1 species